UAAAUCAGACUAGGAACCAUGAGGUUGCGAUUCGAUCCCUUGCCUCGCUCAGUGGGUUAAGGAUGUGGCGUUGCCAUGAGCUGUGGUGUAGGUUCCAGACAUGGCUCAGAUCCUAUGUUGCUGUGGCUGUGGCGUAGGUUGGCAACUGUAGCUCCAAUUAGACCCCGAGCCUGGGAACCUCCAUAUGCCAUGGGUGCGGCCCUAAAAAAGACAAAAUAAAUAAAUAAAUAAAUAGAUAGAUAGAUAGAUAAAUAAAUAAAUAAUCUGCUGGUGAUAUUUUCAGUUAUGAGGCCACCAUGAUGUGUCCGAGCAAGAGCAAAGAGAACAGAACAAGGAAAACACAGGUUUUGUAAGCCCCUUCAUGGAAGAAAUACUUUUCACCUACAAGGACUUACUAAGUCCACUGUACUGAUGCCCAUCAGGAACAAGACCGUAUGAUCUGAACGGGAGCUGGAGAGAACCACUUGGGGGAACCUCCAUCUAUUUACGUAUAGACCGGGGAGAUGGCAGUCUUGGCAGAGCAGAAAUUAAUAUAACAGCCACCUUGGCACAGCUCUUCUGAUCUGGUAAGGAAUGGCUUCCAGCUUCCUCAUCUAAAAUGCACUUCUUAAGGUCAAUUGGCAUAUAUUGUAGUGUAACUAUGGUGACAGUUUCAUUUCUCACAUAGCGGGCUUACAUGGAGAGAAUGCAUGGCUUGGGCUGCUUUGAAAGUCCACAUUGUUUUUGUUACUUGGAUUCUGGUAUUUUGCUUAUUAUUUACACUUGUUUUCCAAGACGGCCUCUAAUGGGGACACACAGAUCCUCUUAUGUGAGUGUUUCUAUCUGCUUGACAAUUGCACAGCCUGUCGUAAAAGCAUUCUGAUUUCUUUGGAAGGUAUGAGUCCAACCCUUAGAGACAGAUCUCAUGUCACUAUGCCUCUAACCAGGUUUUUGACCUUUGUGGCUGAAGCGCAGGCGCUGGAUUGUAGUGAUUUCACUAAAGGCACUUUGUGGGAACAAAUCCAAGGGUCCUAUAGGAUUUAUCAGAUCCCACCCCUCUGAAUCACGGUGUGCUGAGUGGUGCUUUUCCAUUCGAAACCACAACAACACUUUCUGUAAAUUUUUUACUUGUGCACUGUAAAUAGAGAUGUACUCCAUUUUUCUAGAAAGAUUGUGUGCCUCACUCCAUAAUUUAACCAUGAAGAUCUACAGAGGGGUCUGUUACCGGUACACAGAGUCAUGAACAAAGCUUCAUAUGCCAUCCAUUGCAUUGGUCCAACUUCGUUCAACCCAGUAACAGGCUUGGCUAAUGAAUUGUCUUGGUUUCUUUAAGUUUGCUGAGUCUGGCAGGAGAGAGUUGUGCUUUUUCUCUUAUUCCCAGGUCUAUUUAGUGGAAAAUUUUUUAAAAAGAAUUUUUUGGAAAAUUAAGAAUACCAAAAACGUGAAGAUAAAGCUGCCAUUUCUCAUUAUUUACAGAUGUAUUUUUGAAUGCCUGCUUUGUAUCAAGUAAUGUUCUAGAAAGCUGUUUGGGGAUGGUUUUUGGUUUGUUUCUUUUUUCAGUGUGCUGGUUUUCCUGUAUUUAACUUUUUAUUUGGAAAUAAUUUCAAAUUUACAGAAAACUUGGAAAAUUAGCAAUUGUGCCAAAAUAUGUGAAUACCCAGGUAUUCAUAUUAAUGAAUACUACCUACCAUUAAUAUUUCUGCCCAUUUACUCUAUCACUUGCUGCUUAUCUCUCUUCAGUAUAAUAAUUUUUAGAGAGCUGGGAUAUUAAAAUAAAAGCCUGAGGCAUCCCAGAUUGCAAAGGUCUUUGGCUCUAAAAACUGGGUAGUCAUGUUAGAUAAAAACCCAAAGACAAGUCAUUAUAAAUUACAGACCCUAUCACAGACAGAUCUACACAAGGUAGAGCAGGACCUGUGCUGAAGCUUGACGGGUGACUAGGAAGCUGUCAGGGAGGCCAGUGUAGGGCAUGUAUAAAUUGUUUCAGGGUUCCUGGAGCAUAAAGGAUAAAAUUCAGAGGAGGGGAACAGUUAGGAAAGAUCCAAAACCACAUGGGGUUUUCAUGCAAUAGGAGGAGAUUUAAUAUUUGUGAAGGCAGUUGGGAGCCCUCUUGACCAAAUGGAUACAUUUUGAGUGUUUCCCAUUCCUUGGCUAGCCGCCUGGAGGGUGGAUGUUAGGGACUGGGAAAGGGGCAAACUAGAACCAAAGCACUCAGGAGAAACUAUAUUCAGAUAGUCCAGAGGACCUAGGAUGGUCUUGACCUGGGUGAGGGCAGUGGCCGUGAAGGCGAAAAACUGAAUAUGAAACAAAAGAGAUAUUCAAGAGGUAGAAUUAAAAAAAAAAAAAUACUGUAAUCAUUGACAACCACGACUAGCAGUGACAUAUUCUUACGGAUUCAGUGCCUGCUGGGUGACCUUUUUCACAGAAAGAGCAGCAAUGCUACCUGCUGUUCCACGGCUGUUUCUAUUUGAGAAAUUGAACAUUAGUGCUUUUAAUGCAAACUAUAAGUAGCUGUGUGUCAUCAGCCGAGGGGAUCAGCCCCAAGAUGCUGUGGCAUUUAUCGUCGGUUUUCAGGUUUCAGAAUCCAGGAAACCUUUAAUCCCUGGCUGUGGUGCUUACAGUUCAGGUGAGCGGUUCUGCCAGGUGCUAAAAUCAGAAGCAAUGGGGUGUCAUGAUUAAGAAAGUAAGCUUGCUUGUCAGCCAGGCCUGGGCCUGAUCCCCACAUUUCCCAUUGAUUUCAACUCCUGGUUCUGAACAAAGUUUCAUUAUCUAUAAAAUAGAGAUGAGAGGACUAGGACCUAGGGUUGUUACUUGGACUAAAUGACACACUUCCUUAAAUUCAGCUGAUUCCAUCAGGGAUCUAGCUGAACCAGAGCUGACAUUCUCUCCUUCUUUCUCUUUUACAUUUCAUAUAUACAUUCUUCUCAUUAUUUUUUCAAUGCUACACUUUCAGUUUCUAUUUCCCUUCUGCCCCAAGAGUUAUUUAUUUCAUAGAAAGCUUUUAAAAAAUCCAUGAAGAAAGGGUUUCUGUGCUCGGGUUUUGUUAUUGAUUUUUUAGUUUUAUUCCACGAUCAUCAGGGAUGCUGUUUGCUUUAUUUCUACCUUAUGAAACUCAACUGCAUUUUUUUUUUUUUUUGUGAUCUAAUCUGUGGUUAAUUUUGUGAAUGUUCUAUGUGGAUUUGAAUAGAAAAAAUCGUAUUCUUUAUUAC
rnacentral:lncRNA from 1 species